AUGAGAAUUUGAUGGGAAGAGGGGAAAGACGGGAGGUCAGUUCAGGAAUCAAGGGAUGGAUAAUGAGGAAUGGAAAGAGAUUGGAUAAAUGGGUGUUCGGGGAAAGGAUAAGGUGAAGUUUGUUAAAAAUGAAGAAAAAAGGCGAAGGAGACAAAGACAGUGAAAGGUUUGCUGGAAAGAAGGAAACUGAAUUGAGAAAUGAAGAGGUGAAGAGUAAGGAAAGGAAGGAGAAUGGUUAUCAAUUAGAAGGGGAUGGAGGCCUAUCCAAGAAUAGGCCGAGGAGAACUGAUAAAAAGGGUCUAUUGAGGGUCUUGGAUCCUCUUUUAUCCUCUGCUCAUCUGUGUUGUCUACCAGGUCUGAUGUAGCGUCUUUGUUUUUGGAACCUGCUCAGGCCAUUUUUUGAGAAAGGUUUCGUGUGCAGGGCUAUGCUCUUUGCUUGGGCAGUGGAGGUUUUGGUCGAUUUUUUUCCUCCCAUGUUUAAAAAGUCAAGGAUGCUAUUCAAACUCCAGUAGAGACUGAACAACUUACCUCUUCUCCUGAAUCCCCUGAUGAAUCAAGGCUGGUCACCAAGAAACAAAAACAUUCUGCAGCAGCUCUAUAAAGGUUUUUCUAUACACUUCGUCCUAGUUCUAUCUAAUUUUUCAUCAAAUAACUUUGUUUUUGUCAUGGCUGCCCAUGCACAUACUCUUUUUUGUUGCCAUUGAUUCAUUCCACUGUUGUUGUCAUGACUGCUCAUGCACAUACUCUACUGAAAUUGAGUCAUUCCUAUUUUGAAAUGAUGAUUGCUAUGAUAAUGAUAUGACCGCAGACAUUACCACUCUUAGAAAAAUACAUAGCUAUAGUUUCAUAAACUUUUUUUUUCACCAUCAACCAGUUAGGUAUGCAAUCAUAAACAAGUUGCUGACCUUUCUUUCCUGUGAAUUAGUCUCUGUAGUGUUCCUUUAGACAGAAACUAAAAACAUCAACAGGGUUCCCCAUGGAUCCCCUCAUCACUACAUAUAUGAUCCACCAAAAAAUCAAAUGACUAUAUUGACCUUGAUGCUUCUUCCAGAUGGCAACGAUCCUCAAGUUGAUGUUGAUUUUAGGUUUGAUGAUGUAUGUUUAAAUUGAUUAAAUAUCUGUCAGAAGGAUAAAGAGAAAAAGAAAAAGAAAACUUGCCUUGAUUUUCAUUUUUGCCUACAUGAUGUCUGUUGAAAUCAUGAUGAUCAUAAAAAGGACCCAGAUUUAGAUGGCAUGAUUUGGGAAAAAAAUAAAAAUGACUGAAUAUUCUGAACAGAAAAUAAAAAACAUAAGAAUUGUUAUAUAAUGAGGAUAAUAACAAAUAGUUUAAUGUUGUUGUUUGCCCUGGAAAUAGCAGCAUCAUAUAGAGUAAGCUUUAUCCUGGUGAGAAAAAAGUGUCGGUAGUGCACUAAAAAAAACGUAUCAGUUGCAGCAACAAAUUAAAUUGUAUUCUUCGUUUUGUUCAUGUAGACUAGACCCUUUUAUUUUUCUUUGAUGUAGACUCCAAUAAAAAAGAGGUCUUCCUUGCUCUAAGAGCAUCCUCAUUGUUGUUCUCUGACUAAGUUCUUUAGCUAUAAUAGCUAGCAGAAUACAUGUUUUACCCGCAGCAUUGAUGCUCUCCAAAGGGCUCUUUACUUUGGCUUUGUCUACAGUACUUGCUCUCUGUAGCACUCUCUAGUUGUGGAGCUGCAGAGAGGGAAUGAAGAAGUGAUUCGCGGGUUUUGGCACCUCUCGCCUAGAAUGUAACUUCUCAGCUUCUGAUGCUAACAAAAUCCCUUGAACCACAGAUUUGAAAGCACGUGCAGCAGUUGAACCAACACAGACCAAGAACCCCAAUAAAUGAAACAAAUGCUCACUAUUACUGGCCACAACAAUCCCAAAAACCACGGGCAAAGGUUAUUAAGAAAGCGAGUUCUUUGUUGCAAGUUAUCAAGACAGAAAAAAUAGCAGUAAAAAAUGGUGUGGUUGCCCCCAAUAGCUUGAUUAAAAGACACAGGCAAGUACCUUAAUAAAGUAUGUCAAGAACGUGGUAAUUGCUGGUGGUUGACACGGUGGUGCCAUCCAUUUUUCUUGGGUUGCUGAUUCUCCUUGGUGCCCAUAUUUGUGCCUCCACCAUCCUCAAUGAUCUGGCUUGGUUGUUGGUAUUGAAUCCCAGACCCAUCAACCAGAACAUCACUGUUGAAUCUUCUUAAGAGGUACAACUGUGCUGUUGCUAUUUCUAGCCAAUACUUACUUCACAAAGAGAUCAAAUAUUCUUCAACAGAGAAGAAGAAGACGAGGAAAAAGAAGAAGAGAGCAUCGUUUUUCUUGAAGCAGACUGUGAAGUGAAAAUAGGGAUUUAUCUGGCAAGGCAUUAACAAGCGAAGGACAAGCAUAAACAUGAAUUUUCAUAUUUUACAUAAUUUGAAUAUAAAAAAAUAAUAAAACAAAUACUCUAUAUUUUAGAAAACAUGAAUGUAAAAUAGUUUUUCAGCUAAAAUCAAGCUAAAAUACAAAGAGCAUGGAUGUUAAUGCC